rnacentral:rRNA from 1 species
UACGUAGGCAGCGAGCGUUGUUCGGAGUUACUGGGCGUAAAGGGUGUGUAGGCGGUUGUUUAAGUUUGGUGUGAAAUCUCCCGGCUCAACUGGGAGGGUGCGCCGAAUACUGAAUGACUUGGAGUGCGGGAGAGGAGAGUGGAAUUCCUGGUGUAGCGGUGAAAUGCGUAGAUAUCCGGAGGAACACCGGUGGCGAAGGCGGCUUCCUGGACCGACACUGACGCUGAGGCGCGAAAGCUAGGGGAGCAAACAGG